GACAGAGGGUGCAAACGUUGUUCGGAAUUACUGGGCGUAAAGCGCGUGUAGGCGGCCAUGCAAGUCGGAUGUGAAAGCCCUCGGCUCAACCGGGGAAGUGCACUCGAAACUGCAAGGCUAGAGUCUCGGAGAGGAUCGUGGAAUUCUCGGUGUAGAGGUGAAAUUCGUAGAUAUCGAGAGGAACACCGGUGGCGAAGGCGGCGAUCUGGACGAUGACCGACGCUGAGACGCGAAAGCGUGGGGAGCAAACAGG
rnacentral:rRNA from 1 species